UGGGGCUGGAGCAGGUCCCAAGGGAUUGACUGUUCGUCAAUUAAAGUGGUACGCGAGCUGGGUUCAGAACGUCGUAAGACAGAUCUGUCCCUAUCCUCCGUGGGCGCAGGAGAUUUGAGUGAGUCUGUCCUUAGUACGAGAGGACCGGGAUGGACGAACCUAUGGUGUGCCGGUUGUAGUGCCAACUGCAGUGCCGGGUAGCUAAGUUCGGAAGGGAUAACCACUGAAACCAUCUAAGUGGGAAGCCUUUCACAAGAUAAGAUCUCCAUGAGGCAGCUUGUAGACUACAAGCUUGAUAGGCCAGAGGUGUAAGUACAGCGAUGUAUUGAGCUGACUGGUACUAAAUUGCCAAUUGCUUACAAAA
rnacentral:rRNA from 1 species